rnacentral:rRNA from 1 species
CCUACGGGAGGCAGCAGUGAGGAAUAUUGGUCAAUGGGCGAGAGCCUGAACCAGCCAAGUCGCGUGAGGGAGUACUGCCCUAUGGGUUGUAAACCUCUUUUGUCGGGGAGCAAAAGCCGGACGUGUCCGGCUGUGAGAGUACCCGAAGAAAAAGCAUCGGCUAACUCCGUGCCAGCAGCCGCGGUAAUACGGAGGAUGCGAGCGUUAUCCGGGUUUAUUGGGUUUAAAGGGUGCGCAGGCGGAUUUUUAAGUCAGCGGUAAAAUCGUGGGGCUCAACCCCAUCCAGCCGUUGAAACUGGGGAUCUAGAGUGUGCGAGAGGUAUGCGGAAGGCGUGGUGUAGCGGUGAAAUGCAUAGAUAUCACGCAGAACCCCGAUUCCGAAGGCAGCAUACCGGUGCACAACUGACGCUCAGGCACGAAAGCGUGGGUAUCGAACAGGAUUAGAUACCCCAGUAGUC